CAGACAACUCUGCCAUAGGAUAGCUUAAAAACUGAUUUAAUUCGCGCGCAGUUCUCUACUAGCCUGCAGAGGAACACUUCGUAGUAAUAUUUGGACCCUUUGUGCAUCUUGAUUCAAUGUUACCUAAUCGAAAUUCAACUGAUUCUCUCCUAUUUAACACAGGGGGACGCCUAUGACAGAAAGGGAAGGAAAAAGCGCCUAGCUUCUUUGUUGUCUGCUUGUAGAUAAAGGGCAGGACGUCAGCCAGUGAUCCGACCGGCGCUAGUACCCUGUAAAAGGCACGUUGCCUUCGCCAUUCCCCUAUUUCCCAAGCCGCAGCCCCUUGUGACGAAGCUCGUCUUGACAUUCGGCUCAGCGAACGUCUCGUCUUCCCCUCCGGCACUAGUGAGACGCUGCUCCAUGGUGCUGGCGGGGCGGCGACAACGAGCGAUGGCAGGCGGGAAUCCGUCACCUCAUUGUUGGUAUGAAAAGAAUUAUCGAGAACAACAGUGAAAGAUUCGAUUGGCUUAUUCUACUGUCUGGACAGAAGAUCGUUCACUAUAGAAUCAUAUAUAAUCUUCACUUCGACAGACGAUUACCUAACAUGACAAGUGUGCUUUCACUCAUUGAAUUGUUGCUCGUUUAAUUUGUAAAUAGACUUAUGUCUAAUACGCAUUCUGGAAGUAAG